rnacentral:misc_RNA from 1 species
AUAAAUGUUUCCGCUAGUCGGGAAAUAACAUUGUGUGCACCAUUGUCUGUCUUUGGUAGUUCGAGUGCCCUUGAGGGGUUUCCGUUUCGAUGGGAACCCCUUUGAGAGGGCCUACCCUGAUUGCCUUCUGGUCUUCUGGGUUGGGCUACCGCCUUUUUUGUAAAACCUUUUGUAUUUGUUUUAUGCCUGAACGAAGAGUUAGUCUUUAUUGAUUAAUGAUUUGAAUA